rnacentral:rRNA from 1 species
GCCUAUGGGCAUUCCUCCCUGAACACACCCGAUCUCGUCUGAUCUCAGAAGCUAUGCAAAGUCAGACCUGGUUAGUACUUGGAUGGAAGACCGCCCUGUCUCAAUGGACCUUGGGUC